rnacentral:rRNA from 1 species
AUUGAACGCUAGCGGGAUGCUUUACAAAUGCAAGUAGAACGGCGUGGCGGACGGGUGAGUAAUAUCUCGGAACGUGCCCAGUAGCGGGGGAUAACUACUCGAAAGAGUGGCUAAUACCGCAUACCAUUAGAGCGGCCGAUAUCGGGUUAUCUAGUUGGUGGGGUAAAGGCUCACCAAGGCAACGAUCCGUAGCUGGUUUGCUAGGACUACCAGCCACACUGGGACUGAGACACGGCCCAGACUCCUACGGGAGGCAGCAGUGGGGAAUUUUGGACAAUGGGGGAAACCCUGAUCCAGCCAUCCCGCGUGUAUGAUGAAGGCCUUCGGGUUGUAAAGUACUUUUGGCAGAGAAGCGGUAUCUGCAGAAUAAGCACCGGCUAACUACGUGCCAGCAGCCGCGGUAAUAC